rnacentral:rRNA from 1 species
ACGAACGCUGGCGGCAUGCCUAACACAUGCAAGUCGAACGAAGCCUUCGGGCUUAGUGGCGCACGGGUGCGUAACGCGUGGGAAUCUGCCCUUUGGUUCGGAAUAACAGUUAGAAAUGACUGCUAAUACCGGAUGAUGACUUCGGUCCAAAGAUUUAUCGCCAAGGGAUGAGCCCGCGUAGGAUUAGGUAGUUGGUGGGGUAAAGGCCUACCAAGCCGACGAUCCUUAGCUGGUCUGAGAGGAUGAUCAGCCACACUGGGACUGAGACACGGCCCAGACUCCUACGGGAGGCAGCAGUGGGGAAUAUUGGACAAUGGGCGAAAGCCUGAUCCAGCAAUGCCGCGUGAGUGAUGAAGGCCUUAGGGUCGUAAAGCUCUUUUACCAGGGAUGAUAAUGACAGUACCUGGAGAAUAAGCUCCGGCUAACUCCGU